AUAAAUGGCCAUAUCACAUUGAAAGCACUGGUUCUUGUCCGAUCACCAAAGUUAAGCAUUGUUGGGCCUAGUGAGUACUUAGUUGGGUGACCGCUUGGGAAACCUAGGUGCUGUAAGCA
rnacentral:rRNA from 1 species